CCCUUAGAUGUUCUGGGCCGCACGCGCGCUAUACUGACGAAGUCAGCGAGCAUGUCCUACGCCGACAGGUGCGGGGAAUCUUGUCAAACUUCGUCGUGAUGGGGAUUGAUUAUUGAAAUUCUUGAUCAUCAACGAGGAAUUCCUAGUAAGCGCAAGUCAGCAGCUUGCGUUGAUUACGUCCCUGCCCUUUGUACACACCGCCCGUCGCUACUACCGAUUGAAUGGUUUAGUGAGAUCUUCGGAUUGGCGCCACUGCGGCUCAGCAAUGGGCUCGGUGGAUGCCGAAAAGUUGAUCAAACUUGAUCAUUUAGAGGAAGUAAAAGUCGUAACA
rnacentral:rRNA from 1 species